rnacentral:lncRNA from 1 species
UCGGAUGGUAAGCACCCCUUAACACCAACUCUCAGAUUGUGGGUUCGAGUCAACAAGAUAGCAAAAAGGGGAGAGCUCGGGUAAAAAAUGUUAGAAGAAAAUGACAAACCAUAUGAACUAAAACACAGUUUCUUUGAAGGCUUUUACGAAAACAUUGAUUUUGCAUUUCAGGUUUCUUCCUUUGACAUCUCUACCCACUCUCACACGCACAAACACACAUAAUCACAAACACGAAUUUCGAGAGUCUAACAAUUUACUCCCUCAGUUUCAGUUUUACUUGGCACAUAUCAUACUAAAUUUAACAUUAUAAAUAAUAUUUUGAACUAUAAAUUUGACUAUCCUUACUUUAUACAGUUACUUUAAUACAAAGGAUAAAAAGGAAAAAAUACACACUUGGAGAUGCCACCGAGGGAGGGACUGUUGGUUGGAGGGACGGAAAGGACUGUUGGCAGGUGAGGGAGGCGUCGAAGGCAGCCGGGGAGAGGAGAUUCGCCGGUCAGUGGUGGAGCGGAGGCUGGUUCAUCCGGUGGCGGAGGCUAGUUCGUCCGGUGGCGGAGGCUGGUGGCGCUGAAGACCAAGAGCCCACCGGUAAUCACAUCCGACGAGGCUUGUCGACGGGAGAGGAGGAUGGAGGCAGCGGAGCAGCGG